UACGUAGGGCGCAAGCGUUGUCCGGAAUUAUUGGGCGUAAAGAGCUCGUAGGCGGCUUGUCACGUCGGGUGUGAAAGCCCGGGGCUUAACCCCGGGUCGGCAGUGGAUACGGGCAGGCUAGAGGUAGGUAGGGGAGAAUGGAAUUCCCGGUGUAGCGGUGAAAUGCGCAGAUAUCGGGAGGAACACCGGUGGCGAAGGCGGUUCUCUGGGCCUGUACUGACGCUGAGGAGCGAAAGCGUGGGGAGCAAACAGG
rnacentral:rRNA from 1 species